rnacentral:lncRNA from 10 species
GCUAGAGAGUGAACAUCUCUGUACAGUGUAGGUCCAGAAUUAGAGUUGGAGGCAGAUUUACCUGAAGUAAAUAGUAGCAUCCAGUGGAAUGAAGAAGGUCCUACCAAGCCGGAAGCCACUUCUCAUGAAACAGUGUAGAUCUGCACCUAACACCGCCUGAGAUGCUCUGGGAAAAGAACACCUCAUGUGCUGUCCAAGGUGCUGCCCACUGGGAGGAUUUCUCUUCUUCACUGCCCUCCAGGCCACCCCUAACAGAAGCUAUAACAUCAUAGCCAUUGAUUUCAAGCUGGCGAUUUCAAGCUCAGAGCUAAC